rnacentral:rRNA from 1 species
ACGCUCGAUACCUACGGGAGGCAGCAGUGAGGAAUAUUGGUCAAUGGGCGCUAGCCUGAACCAGCCAAGUAGCGUGAAGGAUGAAGGCUCUAUGGGUCGUAAACUUCUUUUAUAUAAGAAUAAAGUGCAGUAUGUAUACUGUUUUGUAUGUAUUAUAUGAAUAAGGAUCGGCUAACUCCGUGCAAGCAGCCGCGGUAAUCUGAGCGGGCUGGCAAGGC